rnacentral:lncRNA from 1 species
AGAGGAUGCUGAUGUUUGUUCUGGCUUCGUUAUUGCACUCAUUUGAGUGGGAAUUGCCAGCUGGCACAAAGCUAAACUUAUCUGAAAAAUUUGGGAUUGUCAUUAAGAAAAAAGAGCCUUUGGUUGCUAUUCCAACACCAAGACUAUCCAAUUCAGAGCUCUACCAUUAAGACAAAAUGAUUGUGAUGAUUUUGUGAGUAUCGGAAGAUUUGUAUGUUAUUUCAAGUUCAAUCGUAAUAAAAUAUUUCAAUAAAAGUCCUCCGUUGCUAAUUUUUUUUUCAACGGCAUAAUCUGUCAUCAUGCUUGUGUUUGGAGCUACUUUGAAAUAAUUUUUGAAUUACAAUUUAUAAAUAUUUACAUUUUAAAAUUUUAUGAGAGUCUAAAUCUAUACACGUUCAAUAAAAAAUUUCCUAAAAGUUUUAGGAUUCAAAAUUCUAUUAAAGUAUAGAUGAAACUUUUAUACCUCCUAAUUUUUUGGUCUAUUCUACGAGUUUAAAGAGGAGAUAUUUCUAGAGCUAGUAAAAAGAGUUACCUGAUUGUUUUCGCGUUAUGUCAUUUUUUUAUUGUGUUAAAUUUAAUUUGACUCAAAUAUGACCCAUUUAAUAAUCGUGUCAAAAUAUUAAAACUUAAACUUGACACGGAAAAUAAUUGGGUGACCGGACAAACCCAUUUAAUAAUUAGGUAACUAUGUCACUUAAUACGACAUAACCCAAUAACUCGUUUAAUACAUAUUUAACAUAAUUUACAUUGUACAUUGUACAUUGUACACCAUUUUGUCAUAAAUUACACUAUUUUAUAUUUCUAAAUAAUAUUAUAUAUUGAUAUUGUAUAAAAAAAAAUCAAUAAUCUCAAAAUUUGUACACCUCCUAACUUUUAAAAAUAAAUAAAAAACUAAUUAAUUAAUGUUUAUUUUAUUCAUUAAUAUAUCAUAAUCCUACAUGUGUUUUAUUUGUUAUUUUUUUUAUUUAAAAAGAUAGGUAGGUGGAUGAAACUCAAAUAAAUUUUUAGCCUAUCUUGAUCUUUCAAGUUUCUUAUUUAGGUGGCCAGCUAAAGAAAAUUACUUAAAAACUACUCCAUCAAUUUAACAAAUUUUAUUUAUUUAUUUAAUGGAGGUGUAGAAAAUAAAAGUAUCUUCAAGCACAUUGCAAUAGUGAAAGCAAUGUACCGGUGUUGCAACAUAACUGAACCUUGAUAACCUAUCACAUAUUUUAAGUUUUAACAUUGGUAGUUCACGGAUCAGUUUCUACUUCCACGAACAAUUAUUGAAGGAAAUGAGUUUUUUUUUUUUAAUGAAUAUUUAUAGACCCCGAUUAAAUAUUCGAAUAUAUAAUAAAAGAGAAACUGACAUAGAAAUGAGAAAGAUAUUUGGAGGAGGCAAAAAAAAAAAAAAAUGCAACAGACAAUUAGAUCGGCAACACAAGUAACUAAUUAAUUCAUCUAUACAUCAUAAUCCUAUUUGUAUCUUCUUCCUUCUUCUAAUUUACAUAUAAAUUUGGUUAGAUAAAACAUAUUUUAAUACUCGGUCACAAUCGGUGGAUAUAGAAAAUUAAUUUAGAGGGGGUAAUACCAUAACGAAAAAUAAUGAUUCAUAAUUAAAAUCAACCCCAACAUCAAAACUUAUUUACAAGAUCACCCCCAGUCAAAGGUAAUUUUUCCUAAAAACUAAUACGAAAUUAAAUAAAUUUAACUUUUAGUGGGUUCAAUUGCCCACGCAUUCUGAACGUAGAUCCACCCCUGGCCCCGACUGAAGCAUUUUUUACAAUAUGUACUCUGUUUAUCAGCGGGAACAGCCUUCCACCUUAAAUUAAAAUUUUCACUUAAAAAUGAUUAAGGUUAAUGAGGUUAGUAACAAAAAUGAGUUUAAUUAGAGAAUAUUAUAAGAGAAAUUCUAUUUUUUGACUUUUAAUAAAUUAAGAUAUAUUAAAAUAUUAUUAGUUGGUGGUGGUUUCACGUCAAAUUAAGACGUGACACCUUACUUAUGAGGUGGAGACAAUCGGCUUAAACUAUUUUAAUGCAUUUGAAAUUUGCACUAAUGGCUAUCAUUCUUUGUCCAAAUUAAUACGAUAAUUAAUAACAUACAAAAGUCAAGAAAAUGAAAAUUUAUCCCAAUUAAAACACUUUCUGGCUGCAUUUGGCUGUUUCCAUUUGAAGUUAAAAACGACAACGUUUCUUUCGUUUUGUGGGCGAUUCGAUUGAGCAGGCGCCACUAGCUAGCUGGCUUCCAGUGCUAGUGUGUGACGAUAGAAGGCUAGUGAUUUCACUUUCACAUUUUUUUUUAUUAUUUUUUUUGGGGAAUCAAGAUAAAAGUCAAGAAAAUGAAAAUUGGGCUGUUUCCAUUUGAAGUUAAAAACAGCGUUUCUUUCGGGGCGUCAAUUUGAUAUUUGAAUGGACAGGCAAGUAAGAAAUACAUUUCCUUCAUAGAAAAUGACAACGAGGACAUCAAGCCACAUCAUUAUAGUUUGUAGCCCAUCUACAUUUAAACGAUUAAUAAACAAGCUUAGGUGUGCCACUGCUAUUAUUAAUUAUCCCCUGAUCAUUAUAGUUUCUGAAACAGUAAAACAAAACGAAAUUGAAUACAUCAACGAGACCGCAAUUAUCACUUGUUUAGUUGCGGUAUUUAACUUAAUUUUAAUCUAAUAUAUUUGUUAGUUAAACUUUUAAUAAUCAAAUAAUUUUGAUUUAAAAAUAAAAUUAUAGAAAUUAUUAAUUAUUAAAAAUUCACAAUUAAGGGAACGUUCAUCAAACACACAUAGCUAUUGUUUUCUCUAUAUAUUGCAGUGUGUACGAUAUUGAGGGUUGAAGCCCCAAGCAUGCUCUAAAAUCCAGAUAAUAAUUAGAUCCAUGCAAAAUAUUCAUCGUUGUAUCAGCUGAUCAGUUGGUGGUGAUGAAGGGUGUUAUUGGCGGAGCUCAAAGUUAUUAUGUGCAUGUUGGGUGGAUAUCUCUAUUGAAAAUAUCUCUGAUAUUUCACUCGACAAACUUGUUAAUAUAAAAAAAUCUAUGGUUUUGCCGUCUGCAUACUGUAGAAAAUUUUGUCUCUACGUUAAUCUAAAUGUUUGAGGUGAUUAGAAAUUGCCUACUAUAUAUAAAGGGAAAUAAUUUCUAGGUUGAUUGAUACAUCUCUAUUCAAAAUAUCUCUGACAUUUCACUCGACAAACUUAUUAAUAUAAAAAAUCUGUGGUUUUGCCGACUGAAUAAUGUAGAAAAAUUUGUCUAUGCAUUAAUCUAGAUGUUUGAGGUGAUUUAUACAUCUGUGGUAAAGAUUUAUAGGUUGACUUAUACGUCUGUGGUAUAGAUUUUAUGUAUGUCAUUACAAAAUGCUGGCCGUUAGAACCCUUUCUACAUCUAUUUAUAAGAUUAACGGGUGCCAGCUAUGCCAUUACAAAUUAUCCCCUCAUCAGAUAUUUCGUUAAAAUUCAUUCUGAAACACUAAAACUAAAUAAUCGAACAUGGCUUUGCGGGUCGAUGAUGCCAGCAGCAAUGAGACUGCAAUUAUCACUUGUUUAGUUUCUGUGCUUGCCGUGGUUUACUUCGCAUGGAAUGUGAAAAAAUCAAGGAAAGCAAAUGCUACACUGCCACCAGGACCUCGCGGCUUGCCUGUAUUCGGAUACCUCCCAUUUCUUGGAACUACUGACUUGCACAAGAAAUUCACGGAAUUAUCCGGAGUUUAUGGUCCGAUCUUCAAGCUUUGGCUUGGAAAUAAAUUAUGUGUAGUGGUGAGCUCACCUUCCCUAAUUAGACAAGUGGUUCGUGAUCAAGAUACAACAUUCGCGAACCGUGACCCACCGAAGGCUGCACUAGUGGUCUCCUAUGGUGGCAAUGAUAUUGCAUGGUCCAAUUACGGUCCCGAAUGGAGAAAGUUGCGCAAAUUUUUUGUGGGCAAGAUGAUGAAUAACGAAAGCCUUGAUGCUUGUUAUGCUCUAAGAAAACAAGAGGUUAAAAAUACUAUCAGGGAUUUGUAUAACAACGACAACAAAAUUGGCAAGCCCAUUGACAUUGGUGAAUUGUCGUUUUCAACAUUGGUAUGUGCUAUACAGAACAUGCUGUGGGGUGAAGCGCUUGAAUUAAAAGAGAAAGGGACCACUAAUCUUAGGGCUGGGCUAAAAUUUAAGCUGGCAGAACUCAUGGUGCUUGCGGGAACACCGAAUAUUUCGGAUGUCUUUCCAAUGCUUUCAUGGCUCGACAUACAAGGUAUAGAGAGGAGAGCAAAGAAGAUUUCACUCUGGCUUGAUAAUGUUAUAAAUUCUACUGUUGAACAGCAUAGAAACAAGGAGUUAACUGUUGAAGGUGAAGAAAGAGCGGGGAAAAAUUUUGAAGGAUCAAGGAACAAGAACUUCUUGCAGUUACUAUUGGAGCUUCAAGAAAAUGAUGACAGUGCUUCCUCAAUUAGCAUGAACCAAUUCAAGGCCGUACUCGCGGUAUGUUAAGCAACUAGCCACGAACAGUUAUACAAGCACAGUUGUAUAUUUGCAUGAGUGAUAUUUUCAACCUUUUUUUUUUAAUUAGAAUUUUAUUGUCACCUUUUGGACAGGAUAUAAUUACGUCUGGAACCGACACCACAACUACGAUGGUGGAAUGGACAAUGGCAGAGUUGAUGCAGCAUCCACAAGUAAUGAAGAAAGUUCAGGAAGAAUUAGCUCAAGUUGUGGGCAUGGACAGUUGUGUUGAAGAAUUUCACCUGUCUAGAUUAAUGUAUUUAGAUGCUGUGGUGAAGGAAACAUUUCGUCUGCAUCCUGCAGUGCCUUUAUUACUACCACGUAGGGCAAGCGAGAGUAGCAACAUCGGUGGCUAUAACAUUCCCAAAGAUACAACUAUUAUGUUGAAUGUUCGGGCAAUCCACAGGGACCCUAAACUUUGGGAUAAUCCCUUACAAUUUCGACCCGAGAGGUUUCUAGAUGACGGUAUCGCGAGUAAGUUCGAUUACUCAGGUAACAAUUUUCAGUACUUGCCAUUUGGUUCUGGUAGAAGAAUGUGUGCUGGGAUUGCUCUAGCUGAGAGGAUGCUGAUGUUUGUUCUGGCUUCCUUAUUGCACUCAUUCGAGUGGGAAUUGCCAACUGGCACAAAGCUAAACUUAUCAGAAAAAUUUGGGAUUGUCAUUAAGAAAAAAGAGCCAUUGGUUGCUAUUCCAACACCAAGACUAUCCAAUUCAGAGCUCUACCAUUAAGACAAUGGUUGUGAUGAUUUUGUUAAUUUCCGAAGAUUUGUAUGUUAUUUUAAGUUCAAUCGUAAUAAAAUAUUUCAAAUAAGAGUCCUCCGUUGCUUUUUUUUUUUUUUCAACGGCAUAAUCUGUCGUCAUGCUUGUAUUUGGAGCUACUUUGUAAUAAUUAUGUUUGAAUUACAAUUUAUAAAUAUUACAUUUUAAAAUUUUAUGAGAGUCUAAA